AAACCAACAGGGAUUGCCCCAGUAGCGGCGAGUGAAGCGGCAAGAGCUCAGAUUUGAAAUCGUGUUUCGGCACGAGUUGUAGAGUGUAGGCGGGAGUCUCUGUGGAGCGCGGUGUCCAAGUCCCUUGGAACAGGGUGCCUGAGAGGGUGAGAGCCCCGUAGGGUGCUGCGCGAAGCUUUUGAGGCCCUGCUGACGAGUCGAGUUGUUUGGGAAUGCAGCUCCAAGCGGGUGGUAAAUUCCAUCUAAGGCUAAAUAUUGGCGAGAGACCGAUAGCGAACAAGUACUGUGAAGGAAAGAUGAAAAGCACUUUGAAAAGAGAGUGAAACAGCACGUGAAAUUGUUGAAAGGGAAGGGUAUUGGGCUCGACAUGGGGGGUGCGCACCGCUGUCUCUUGUAGGCGGCGCUCUGGGCGCCCUCUGGGCCAGCAUCGGUUCCUGCUGCGGGAGAAGGGGCUCCGGAAAGUGGCUCUUCGGAGUGUUAUAGCCGGGGCCAGAU
rnacentral:rRNA from 1 species